CUCUAAUUUCUUUAAGUCUGGUUUGAAGUGGAGAAUAUGUUAGUGUUUUAUUCUACUAUUGCGGAUCAUAUUUGAGCUAAGAUUCCCAAAUUUCCCGUGUAGUUAAGCCUAGAUGCAUGCCUGAGGCAUGGGGCCACCUGCGCUUUACCUGGGCCUUAGGGGAGGUUCUAAUGCCUACGUGUUCACCUAGCUUCUAGGUAACCUGUGUGCAUCUCUGAAAUGACAUGAAGUACCCUUAUGGGUACCUCAGAAAGGUCUCAAUGGGGCUUGCAAACCCCUCUUGGAACACUUUUUCCCAUUACUUUUGGAUCAAGGAUUUGAUUCAUGUAAAAUACCUCCUCCCAAAUUUCAUAGAUUUUUCAUACAAUUAUGAGAUCUUCAGUGGUUUAAGAUCA